rnacentral:rRNA from 1 species
UACGAAGGGGGCUAGCGUUGCUCGGAAUCACUGGGCGUAAAGGGUGCGUAGGCGGAUCUUUAAGUCAGAGGUGAAAGCCUGGAGCUCAACUCCAGAACUGCCUUUGAUACUGGGGAUCUUGAGUUCGGGAGAGGUGAGUGGAACUGCGAGUGUAGAGGUGAAAUUCGUAGAUAUUCGCAAGAACACCAGUGGCGAAGGCGGCUCACUGGCCCGAUACUGACGCUGAGGCACGAAAGCGUGGGGAGCAAACAGG